CAGUGUUAGGAAAAUUGCAGACUGAAAUAUAGAUUGCUUGAAAGAGGAUUUAAUGGAUUGCAGAACAGAAAUUAAAAUUACAGAAUAAAUAUAAUUUUCUACCCGAAUAAACUCUCAAAAAUUAAAACUCAAAACAAAACCUAAAAUGAAACUAAAAAUAAGAACAAUAUGCUUUCAAACUCAAAAUAUACUUCUCAAUAAAAACUUUCAACUAAAGUACAACUAAAACAAAAAAAAUACAUUGCUCUCAUGAAUUAAAAAAAACUAAACUCAAACUAAACUAAUAAAAUACUCCUCCCUUCUUUCUCUUUUUUUUUUCUUUUUUUUUUCUUUCCCGAAAAUAGAGCAAGCUCUGUUUUCUUUCUUUCUUCUUUCCCCCAACCGAACCCUCUUCUCUCU
rnacentral:lncRNA from 1 species